rnacentral:rRNA from 1 species
UACGAAGGGAGCUAGCGUUGUUCGGAAUUACUGGGCGUAAAGGGCGCGUAGGCGGCGUCGAUAGUCGGGCGUGAAAUGCCUGGGCUCAACCCAGGAAUUGCGCUCGAUACUCCGAUGCUUGAGUGUGGGAGAGGAUAGUGGAAUUCCCAGUGUAGAGGUGAAAUUCGUAGAUAUUGGGAAGAACACCAGCGGCGAAGGCGGCUAUCUGGACCACAACUGACGCUGAGGCGCGAAAGCGUGGGGAGCAAACAGG